rnacentral:rRNA from 1 species
GAAACGGGGUGUAUUGCGUGCGCAAGUCCCUUGGAAGAGGGCGCCGGAGAGGGUGACAGCCCCGUGGCGCACACACGACAUCCCGACACGGCCGUUCGAAGAGUCGGGCUGUUUGAGAUCGCAGCCCCAAGCGGGAGGUAAAUUUCUUCCAAAGCUAAGUACGGGCGAGAGACCGAUAGCGGAAAAGUAGAGCGAUCGAAAGAUGAAAAGAACUUUGAAAAGAGAGUGAAAAGGACCUGAAAUUGUUGAAAGGGAAGAGAUUCGCGGCAGUGGGAACGGUGCGGCGUGGCGAACAACGCGACGCGGCACGGUCUGCAUGGCUUGCCGGCGCCGGAGACGGUCCGCGGAACAAGGUAGGCAUCUCUGCGGAGUGCUGUUAUAGAUCUGGGGACGGUGCGGGCGCGCGGGGAGCGAGGAGGUUAGGAGAUGCAGGCGAAAUGGCGCGAAUCAUCCCGUCUUGA